UUUUUACUCAUGCUUGAAUCACGUCAGUCGUCAGGUCAUUAAUAGGGUCUACUAAUAGUUUAGGUUCUCAGGAAAUUAUAAUAAAAUUAGAUUGAAAACAUUUGAAAAUAUUUUCUAAAUUCCUCUGUUUAUUUUCUUUAUUUUUCAAGUUAAAAUUUCCCGCGCGAAUUCUUACCGCGCGCAACGCGGAGUCUGGUACGGAAUUUACAGUAAUACACUGAUCCAUAUAUUGUAUCUGGAAUAUUGACAUGCGCCUUUUGUUCUUUAUAGUAAGCGGUUUCCCCCAAGAAUUCCUCUUCUUUUCGUCUCUCUCAACGAAGUAAACAGAAAUGGUAGUGUAGUUCUUAAAAUCCUUUAUUUUCCAUGCCCAUCCUAUGUUUUAAAGUCACAAAACACGAGUAUAUCGAGUUUAGAAUCUUGUCUUGUCAUUUUAGAGCAAUUUUCUAUUAAUUUCCAUAAAUAUUUUCUUUAGGCUAAGCGUACAAAAAAGGUCGGAGUUGUAGGAAAAUAUGGAACCCGAUAUGGAGCUUCGUUGAGAAUUCACUAGAGCUAUCUACAGUGUAUUUCAUAGACGAAUGGGUUUGUGAUAUUUCCAUUAGAUUGCAUUAAUGAUUUAAAUAGUUUUAAUAUACUCUGAUGAUG